rnacentral:rRNA from 1 species
AAAAAGAACCUGAAACCGUGUACGUACAAGCAGUGGGAGCACGGUUUACCUGUGUGACUGCGUACCUUUUGUAUAAUGGGUCAGCGACUUAUAUUCUGUAGCAAGGUUAACCGUAUAGGGGAGCCGCAGGGAAACCGAGUCUUAACCGGGCGUUAAGUUGCAGGGUAUAGACCCGAAACCCGGUGAUCUAGCCAUGGGCAGGUUGAAGGUUGGGUAACACUAACUGGAGGACCGAACCGACUAAUGUUGAAAAA